CCUACGGGAGGCAGCAGUAGGGAAUCUUCCACAAUGGACGAAAGUCUGAUGGAGCAACGCCGCGUGAGCGAAGAAGGUUUUCGGAUCGUAAAGCUCUGUUGCUGGAGAAGAACGAGUGCGAGAGGAAAUGCUCGUACUGUGACGGUAUCCAGCCAGAAAGCCACGGCUAACUACGUGCCAGCAGCCGCGGUAAUACGUAGGUGGCAAGCGUUGUCCGGAAUUAUUGGGCGUAAAGCGCGCGCAGGCGGCUUCUUAAGUCUGAUGUGAAAUCUUGCGGCUCAACCGCAAACGGUCAUUGGAAACUGGGAAGCUUGAGUGCAGAAGAGGAGAGUAGAAUUCCACGUGUAGCGGUGAAAUGCGUAGAGAUGUGGAGGAAUACCAGUGGCGAAGGCGGCUCUCUGGUCUGUAACUGACGCUGAGGCGCGAAAGCGUGGGGAGCAAACAGGAUUAGAUACCCUAGUAGUC
rnacentral:rRNA from 1 species